GAGAGAUGGCUGARUGGAUKGAAUAGCCCCGGUYUUGAAAAACCGGUAUAUUUCUUUUUACGAAGUAUAGAGG
rnacentral:tRNA from 1 species